rnacentral:tRNA from 1 species
GACAAAGUAGUAUUGUGGUAAUACGCUAGAAAUAGAGAUGGUGGGUUCGAAUCCCACCCUUUGUCC